CAAUAUAGAAAGUUUUGAACGAAAUUGGAUCUGAAUCCCGUUUCUUGCCCGCGAAACAAUUCACAGGUAAAAAAAUGUAUUUUCAGAACUACUGCGCCAAAGUUUAUAUUCAGAAAAAUAUAAUAUGUCCGGGUUUUUUUGUCAGUUUAUUAUAUGAUGUAUUUAUAUGUUUAUGUUAGAUAUAAAAUAUGUCCUUGUUUGUAUCAGUGUUAUUGCCAAUUCCAGAUGUUACUGUGUAAGGAAGGACGGUAAACAAAUUGACGAUUUUACUGCUAAUCGUUGGGAAGCCGAACAACAGACAUGCAAAUGCGCACGUUCUCAAGUUGAGUAUCAGGAAACAGGUAUGGUUGGGAAAGUGUUCCGUUGUACUGCCGAUGGAAGCUAUGACGACAUUCAGUGUACAGGGUCACAGUGUUACUGUGCUGACGAAGAAGGACAACAAGUCGGAAGUGACAGUGUUCAUAUUAUUUCUCUAGACAAACUUAAUUGUUAAUUGUUUGAAGUUCACUAUUUUACCUUGUACUAUUAUGUAAAGUGAAAUUUUGAAAAUAUAACUUGAUCUUAAAGUGAUAUUUUUUUUUAUCAAAAUGUCGUUUGUCAUACUGUUUCCAAAAAAUGUAAUUAAAAAGUAUUUCACCGA